AUUGAACGCUGGCGGCAGGCCUAACACAUGCAAGUCGAGCGGAUGAAGGGAGCUUGCUCCUGGAUUCAGCGGCGGACGGGUGAGUAAUGCCUAGGAAUCUGCCUGGUAGUGGGGGAUAACGUCCGGAAACGGGCGCUAAUACCGCAUACGUCCUGAGGGAGAAAGUGGGGGAUCUUCGGACCUCACGCUAUCAGAUGAGCCUAGGUCGGAUUAGCUAGUUGGUGGGGUAAAGGCCUACCAAGGCGACGAUCCGUAACUGGUCUGAGAGGAUGAUCAGUCACACUGGAACUGAGACACGGUCCAGACUCCUACGGGAGGCAGCAGUGGGGAAUAUUGGACAAUGGGCGAAAGCCUGAUCCAGCCAGGCCGCGUGUGUGAAGAAGGUCUUCGGAUUGUAAAGCACUUUAAGUUGGGAGGAAGGGCAGUAAGUUAAUACCUUGCUGGUUUGACGUUACCAACAGAAUAAGCACCGGCUAACUUCGUG
rnacentral:rRNA from 1 species